ACUGCUGUUUAGGAUAAUAUGCUCGUGCAUUGAGUCGUCAGAAACCUCUGGAACCAUUGGUCAGCUUAUUAAUGGGAUUAUCUUUUCUUCAAAUGGCCUGUCAGAAAUUUCAAUAUGGCGGCAAUGCAAGUAUUGUGCAAGUAAGAGAUAUUGUGCCUACUUGUGCUUUUUGUUAUUUUGUCGAAGUGUAAUUCUUUUCGCAGGUUCUGUAUCAUUGUGAUGGUGUAAAAAACGUGAGUGACCUGCAUGUUGUGUGGGUGGUAUUAUAAAGUAGGGUGCUGUGAUUUGCGUCCCAACUAUCUGAAAGAGGUUAAAAAUACUUGGACAUAUCAAGCAAGGCCCUCUGUCAGGAGAUUCGUGGCAACUAAUCUCAUGACGAUAAAUAUG